GAUGAACGCUGGCGGCGUGCCUAAUACAUGCAAGUCGAGCGAACAGACGAGGAGCUUGCUCCUCUGACGUUAGCGGCGGACGGGUGAGUAACACGUGGAUAACCUCCCUAUAAGACUGGGAUAACUUCGGGAAACCGGAGCUAAUACCGGAUACUAUAUUGAACCGCAUGGUUCAAUAGUGAAAGACGGUUUUGCUGUCACUUAUAGAUGGAUCCGCGCCGCAUUAGCUAGUUGGUAAGGUAACGGCUUACCAAGGCAACGAUGCGUAGCCGACCUGAGAGGGUGAUCAGCCACACUGGAACUGAGACACGGUCCAGACUCCUACGGGAGGCAGCAGUAGGGAAUCUUCCGCAAUGGGCGAAAGCCUGACGGAGCAACGCCGCGUGAGUGAUGAAGGUCUUCGGAUCGUAAAGCUCUGUUAUUAGGGAAGAACAAAUGUGUAAGUAACUAUGCACGUCUUGACGGUACCUAAUCAGAAAGCCACGGCUAACUACGUG
rnacentral:rRNA from 1 species